rnacentral:rRNA from 1 species
CCUACGGGAGGCUGCAGUGGGGAAUAUUGGGCAAUGGGCGCAAGCCUGACCCAGCAACGCCGCGUGAAGGAAGAAGGCUUUCGGGUUGUAAACUUCUUUUCUCAGGGACGAAGAAAGUGACGGUACCUGAGGAAUAAGCCACGGCUAACUACGUGCCAGCAGCCGCGGUAAUACGUAGGUUGCAAGAGUUAUCCGGAUUUACUGGGUGUAAAGGGCGUGUAGGCGGGAAAGCAAGUCAGAUGUGAAAACCAUGGGCUCAACCUGUGGCCUGCAUUUGACACUGUUUUUCUUGAGUGCUGGAGAGGCAGACGGAAUUCCUAGUGUAGCGGUGAAAUGCGUAGAUAUUAGGAGGAACACCAGUGGCGAAGGCGGUCUGCUGGACAGCAACUGACGCUGAGGCGCGAAAGCGUGGGGAGCAAACAGGAUUAGAUACCCGAGUAGUC